CUAUGGCAAGACCUUCGAGUCUAAUAAGUCGCUUCGGCAGAAAAGGAGAUUUUUCUUUAUGAAGCGUGAAAAGAAGGGAAGGUGUUUUUCGCCUGUGGCUCAAAAACGAUACACAUAUACCUUCCUUUCUAGGAGAAAGCGCUCUAUGGCGUCUGACGACAACAUACAAGAAGCCUGCCAAGAAAUACAGCACCCUGCAUCCUAAUUAGCAACACAUGUACGUGCAUGCUCUAUUCCACAAGCUCUCAGGCACUGGCUGGAACGGAUGCAGGGUCGAUCAUCCCAGCCAGAAACGCGACGAAGAUGCACACCAUCAGCAGGCCGAUUAUCGCAGCCCUGAUGGCGUUCUCGCAGCUAUAAGGUGAUGGGAUCUCUUCUUCAUCCAAGUCGAAGUCCAAGUCUGUGACAGGUGACCCGUCAUCAACGCUGACCAAGCGGAGCUGCUUCUUGCUCCCUUCCCCUGCCGGUAUCACUGAAUCAUCACGAGGACUCUCACAUCGCAGGCAGCUGCAUUUACCGCCCAGAAACGCUGGCAUAGCCUGCAGGAACUCCGCCAAUGCCUUCUUGUACGAAUCUCCCUCAAAACGCAACUUCUGCUUUGUAGCUGGUUUCAAGACCUGUGUAGAAUUUAAGCUAUGAGUACCAUGUGAUAUUGCAAUCUACCAGCAAAAGAUAAAGUCAAACUGAUCCUUCCUUUUUA